rnacentral:rRNA from 1 species
UGUAAGCGUAUACCAAAGUUGUUGCAGUUAAAACGCUCGUAGUCGGAAUUUGGCAGUUCCGGAUGUGUGCACGUCGUGUGCGCACUUCGCGGGGAUUGCUUUUGUGGUCUUGCGUAGGAUGAGGCACUUUUAUUAGUGAACGUCCUCACGCAACCACUUCUUACUGUGAGAAAAUCAGAGUGCUCAAAGCAGGCAUUUGCCGUGAAUGUAUUAGCAUGGAAUAAUAGAAUAGGACUUGGUUCUAUUUUGUUGGUUUGUUGGGACUGAGUAAUGAUUAAGAGGGACAGUUGGGGGCAUUUGUAUUUCGGUGCUAGAGGUGAAAUUCUUAGAUUACCGAAAGACAAACUGCUGCGAAAGCGUCUGCCAAGGAUGUUUUCAUUGA